rnacentral:rRNA from 1 species
UACGUAGGGAGCGAGCGUUGUUCGGAUUUACUGGGCGUAAAGGGCGCGUAGGCGGCGCGGUAAGUCACUUGUGAAAUCUCUGAGCUUAACUCAGAACGGCCAAGUGAUACUGCAGUGCUAGAGUGCAGAAGGGGCAAUCGGAAUUCUUGGUGUAGCGGUGAAAUGCGUAGAUAUCAAGAGGAACACCUGAGGUGAAGACGGGUUGCUAGGCUGACACUGACGCUGAGGCGCGAAAGCCAGGGGAGCAAACGGG